GGCCCGGUCGUGCAAUGGUAGCACGCGCUUAGCACGCACUCCUGGGUCCUCCGACCUUCAGUUGAGAUACGUCGCAUUAAGAUUUAAAAGGUGUGGGUUCGAAUCCCGCCCGGGUCC